rnacentral:siRNA from 1 species
GUCCCUCGCGUAUGGCUGUUUGC